AGACACGACGUCGAGCUACUACGGUAGUGAAGUCAUUGAUGCCAUGCUUCCAGGAAAAGCCUCUAAGCUUCAGAUAGUCAGGAAUCGUACCCCAAACCGACACAGGUGGUCGGGUAGAGAAUACCAAGGCGCUUGAGAGAACUCGGGUGAAGGAACUAGGCAAAAUGGUACCGUAACUUCGGGAGAAGGUACGCUCUUGAUGGUGAAGUCCCUCGCGGAUGGAGCUGACGAGAGUCGCAGAUACCAGGUGGCUGCAACUGUUUAUUAAAAACACAGCACUGUGCAAAAUCGCAAGAUGACGUAUACGGUGUGACGCCUGCCCGGUGCCGGAAGGUUAAUUGAUGGGGUUAGCGCAAGCGAAGCUCUUGAUCGAAGCCCCGGUAAACGGCGGCCGUAACUAUAACGGUCCUAAGGUAGCGAAAUUCCUUGUCGGGUAAGUUCCGACCUGCACGAAUGGCGUAAUGAUGGCCACGCUGUCUCCACCCGAGACUCAGUGAAAUUGAAAUCGCUGUGAAGAUGCAGUGUACCCGCGGCUAGACGGAAAGACCCCGUGAACCUUUACUACAGCUUGGCACUGAACAUUGAACCUACAUGUGUAGGAUAGGUGGGAGGCUAUGAAGACGUGACGCCAGUUGCGUUGGAGCCGUCCUUGAAAUACCACCCUUGUAUGUUUGAUGUUCUAACUUAGACCCAUUAUCUGGGUUGAGGACAGUGCCUGGUGGGUAGUUUGACUGGGGCGGUCUCCUCCCAAAGAGUAACGGAGGAGCACGAAGGUGGGCUAAUCACGGUUGGACAUCGUGAGGUUAGUGCAAUGGCAUAAGCCCGCUUAACUGCGAGAAUGACGGUUCGAGCAGGUGCGAAAGCAGGUCAUAGUGAUCCGGUGGUUCUGUAUGGAAGGGCCAUCGCUCAACGGAUAAAAGGUACUCCGGGGAUAACAGGCUGAUACCGCCCAAGAGUUCAUAUCGACGGCGGUGUUUGGCACCUCGAUGUCGGCUCAUCACAUCCUGGGGCUGAAGUCGGUCCCAAGGGUAUGGCUGUUCGCCAUUUAAAGUGGUACGCGAGCUGGGUUUAGAACGUCGUGAGACAGUUCGGUCCCUAUCUGCCGUGGGCGUUGGAAGAUUGAAGGGGGCUGCUCCUAGUACGAGAGGACCGGAGUGGACGAACCUCUGGUGUUCGGGUUGUGUCGCCAGACGCAUUGCCCGGUAGCUAAGUUCGGAAUUGAUAAGCGCUGAAAGCAUCUAAGCGCGAAGCGAGCCCUGAGAUGAGUCUUCCCUGACAGUUUAACUGUCCUAAAGGGUUGUUCGAGACUAGAACGUUGAUAGGCAGGGUGUGUAAGCGUUGUGAGGCGUUGAGCUAACCUGUACUAAUUGCCCGUGAGGCUUAACCAUACAACACCCAAGGGGUUUUGUA
rnacentral:rRNA from 1 species